CAAAGGCUUGGUCCUGACUUUACUACCAGCUUUAGCCGAACUUACACAUGCAAGUAUCCGCACCCCUGUGAGAAUGCCCACAGUUCCCCGCCCGGGAACAAGGAGCUGGUAUCAGGCACAUUUUCAGCCCAUGACACCUUGUUUAGCCACACCCCCAAGGGAACUCAGCAGUGAUAAAUAUUAAGCCAUGAGUGAAAACUUGACUUAGUAAAAGCUAAAAGGGCCGGUAAAACUCGUGCCAGCCACCGCGGUUAUACGAGAGGCCCAAGUUGAUAGUUUACGGCGUAAAGAGUGGUUAGGAAAAAAUUAACACUAAAGCCGAAUGCCCUCAAAGCUGUUAUACGCAUCCGAAGGCAAGAAGUUCAACCACGAAAGUGGCUUUAUUAAACCCUGAACCCACGAAAGCUAGGAAACAAACUGGGAUUAGAGACCCCACUAUGCCUAGCCGUAAACAUUGAUAGAGUAACACACCCCCUAUCCGCCUGGGAACUACGAGCACCAGCUUAAAACCCAAAGGACUUGGCGGUGCUUUAGAUCCUCUAGAG
rnacentral:rRNA from 1 species